rnacentral:rRNA from 1 species
GAACGCUGGCGGCAUGCCUAAGACAUGCAAGUCGUACGAAGUGGCCCAUUGAUGAUUGAGUGCUUGCACAAGAUUUGACUUGGAUUCCCACUGAGUGGCGGACGGGUGAGUAACGCGUGGGUAACCUGCCUUAUACAGGGGGAUAACAGUUGGAAACGGCUGCUAAUACCGCAUAAGCGCACAGCAUCGCAUGAUGCAGUGUGAAAAACUCCGGUGGUGUGAGAUGGACCCGCGUUUGAUUAGCUGGUUGUGGGGUAACGGCCUACCAAGGCGACGAUCAAUAGCCGACCUGAGAGGGUGACCGGCCACAUUGGGACUGAGACACGGCCCAAACUCCUACGGGAGGCAGCAGUGGGGAAUAUUGCACAAUGGGGGAAACCCUGAUGCAGCGACGCCGCGUGAGUGAAGAAGUAUUUCGGUAUGUAAAGCUCUAUCAGCAGGGAAGAAAAUGACGGUACCUGACUAAGAAGCCCCGGCUAACUACGUG